GAGAGGAUGCGAGGGAUUGGGUGAGAAUGACAAAGAUGUGAAUUCAUCAGUGAACAUGGAAAAAACAGUAGUUGAAACAUUAAUUCUCAAUUUCUGUAACAGCAGAUUGAUAGAUGAAGCAUAAAACAAGACCAGAUGCUGUGGUUUCCAGGAUGCACUUGGCUUCCCAUGCUUUAUAACCUGGAGCAUUUAUUGCUCAUGGUAAAAUACCAGAAAUGAGAGUAGUGCCGAAUAAACGUAAUUGAGUAGAAGGAAGAUAAAGGAGCUACGGAACCCUGCUUCGCUCACUUGAUAAAGGCUUGUCAUUGGCAGGUAAUAGUUUUAAAUAAAUUCAUAUAUGAAAAAAACAGAACACUAGUCAUUCUUGACCAUCAACAAUGAAGGACAAGUCCUCAUAAUUGGAGUGGAACGAGACUGGAACUAAGUUACUGUCUCAAGUAAGCCGAAGACUCUAGAAGCGAGCUUUGGUA
rnacentral:lncRNA from 1 species